rnacentral:rRNA from 1 species
UAUUUGUAGAGGAUGUUUCUGGCGACGCGCCUUCCGAGUUCCCUGGAACGGGACGCCAUAGAGGGUGAGAGCCCCGUACGGUUGGAUGCCUAGCCUCUGUGAAACUCCUUCGACGAGUCGAGUAGUUUGGGAAUGCUGCUCUAAAUGGGAGGUAUACGUCUUCUAAAGCUAAAUACCGGCCAGAGACCGAUAGCGCACAAGUAGAGUGAUCGAAAGAUGAAAAGCACUUUGAAAAGAGGGUUAAAAAGUACGUGAAAUUGUUGAAAGGGAAGCGUUCAUGACCAGACUUGGGCAGGUUGAUCAUCCGUGGUUCUCCGCGGUGCACUCUGCCUGCCCAGGCCAGCAUCANUUCGCCCCGGGGGAUAAAGGCUUUGGGAAUGUGGCUCCCUCGGGAGUGUUAUAGCCCACUGCGUAAUACCCUGGGGUGGACUGAGGUUCGCGCUCUGCAAGGAUGCUGGCGUAAUGGUCAUCAACGACCCGUC